UGGGGAAUAUUGCACAAUGGGCGCAAGCCUGAUGCAGCCAUGCCGCGUGUAUGAAGAAGGCCUUCGGGUUGUAAAAGUACUUUUCAGCGAGGAGGAAGGCAUUGUGGGUUAAUAACCACAGUGAUUGACGUUACUCGCAGAAGAAGCACCGGCUAACUCCGUGCCAGCAGCCGCGGUAAUACGGAGGGUGCAAGCGUUAAUCGGAAUUACUGGGCGUAAAGCGCACGCAGGCGGUUGAUUAAGUCAGAUGUGAAAUCCCCGAGCUUAACUUGGAACUGCAUUUGGAAACUGGUCAGCUAGAGUCUUGUAGAGGGGGGUAGAAUUCCAGGUGUAGCGGUGAAAUGCGUAGAG
rnacentral:rRNA from 1 species